AUUGAACGCUGGCGGGAUGCUUUACACAUGCAAGUCGAACGGCAGCACGGACUUCGGUCUGGUGGCGAGUGGCGAACGGGUGAGUAAUGUAUCGGAACGCGCCCAGUCGUGGGGGAUAACGUAGUGAAAAUUACGCUAAUACCGCAUACGAUCUAUGGAUGAAAGCGGGGGAUCGCAAGACCUCGCGCGAUUGGAGCGGCCGAUAUCAGAUUAGGUAGUUGGUGGGGUAAAGGCCCACCAAGCCAACGAUCUGUAGCUGGUCUGAGAGGACGACCAGCCACACUGGAACUGAGACACGGUCCAGACUCCUACGGGAGGCAGCAGUGGGGAAUUUUGGACAAUGGGCGAAAGCCUGAUCCAGCCAUUCCGCGUGCAGGAUGAAGGCCCUCGGGUUGUAAACUGCUUUUGUACAGAACGAAAAGGUUUCUACUAAUACUAGGAGCUCAUGACGGUACUGUAAGAAUAAGCACCGGCUAACUACGUGCCAGCCGCCCGUAA
rnacentral:rRNA from 1 species